CAUGUAGGUGGGCUUUUAAGUCCGAUGUGAAAAUGCGGGGCUCAACCCCCGUAUGGCAUUGGAUACUGGAAGUCUUGAGUGCAGGAGAGGAAAGGGGAAUUCCCAGUGUAGCGGUGAAAUGCGUAGAUAUUGGGAAGAACACCAGUGGCGAAGGCGCCUUUCUGGACUGUGUCUGACACUGAGAUGCGAAAGCUAGGGUAGCAAACG
rnacentral:rRNA from 1 species